CCUACGGGUGGCAGCAGUGAGGAAUAUUGGUCAAUGGGCUUACGCCUGAACCAGCCAAGUCGCGUGAGGGAAGACUGCCCUAUGGGUUGUAAACCUCUUUUGUCAGGGAGCAACGCCUGCUACGUGUAGCUGUACUGAUAGUCCCUGCAGAAAAAGCAUCGGCUAACUCCGUGCCAGCAGCCGCCGUAAUACGUAGGAUGCGAGCGUUAUCCGGAUUUAUUGGGUUUAAUGGGUGCGUAGGCGGAAUGCCAAGUCAGCGGUAAAAUCGCGGGGCUCAAACGCGCUCCGCCGUUGAAACUGGCGUGCUUGAGUGGGGGAGAGGUGUGCGGAAUGCGAGGUGUAGCGGUGAAAUGCAUAGAUAUCACGAAGAACUCCGAUUGCGAAGGCAGCAUACCGGCGCCAAACUGACGCUGAAGCGCGAAAGCGUGGGGAUCAAACAGGAUUAGAUACCCGUGUAGUC
rnacentral:rRNA from 1 species